AUCACCUACAGCCUGGGGCUUCAACCCAUUCCAGGGUUAAUAGAAAUCCACCAGAAGUCAGGCGCUAUAACACUGAUGGCGCCUCUGGACAGAGAAGGUCCACUAGGUGACAGACUGAGCCUGCUUGUGUUCGCUAAUGACGACGGUAACCCUGGCCCUGUCAUGACUGGAACAGCGACCCUGUAUAUUACCGUGGCUGAUGUAAAUGACAACCCUCCCAGAUACGACACCGACGCCUACAGUCUCCUAUUACCACAGACAUACACUUCCGGCCAGCGGUACACACUUCCCACAGCAACCGACC